rnacentral:rRNA from 1 species
GUUUGACCGGUAUGAAUGGUGUCACGAGGGUCUCACUGUCUUAAGAAAAUGUCCAGUGAAAUUGAAUUUGUAGUGAAGAUGCUACAUCCAAAUUGUUAGACAAGAAGUCCCCAUGGAACUUUACUGGAAACUUAUGUGGCUUAAAUUAAUUUAUUUCUUACAAAUAAGUAGUUUUAAAAUGUGGUGUUAACCUCUUGGAUUAAUUGGGGUUAGAAAAGCUCACUCUUUUAUUUUAAGAAAGCCAACUCAAAAACUUAUGUCUUUGGGAUUGGAUAAGUGGGACAGUUUGGUUGGGGCGACCGCCUUUAAAAAAGUAACGAAGGCGGGCUUAAGAUAUAUUUUUAGUUAUGUCUGACUGCGAAGGGGGAAUCUUGAGCAGGCACUUAUUUUAUAGGUGGGUUUAAGUGACCCGUUAAUUUAGGGUGAAAUAGUUAACGAUUAACAGAUUAAAGUUUCCCCUGGGGA